GCCCCUGUGGUGUAGUCCGGUCAAUCAUCUCGGAUUUUCGAUCCGAGGACUCGGGUUCAAAUCCCGGCGGGGGCA
rnacentral:tRNA from 1 species